rnacentral:lncRNA from 12 species
UGUGAGGGGCAAAUGGAAGGCACAGCAGAUGGCAGAGGACAAAAGGAGAUGGUUUGGACUGCCAUGGAUGUAAAAAACAGAAACCUGUUCGAGCUACUAGAGCAAAAAAGGGAAGAUGUAUCCUAAGGACACAGGUCUGAGCCCCCAAGGCAAGAAACAUGACCUCAGCAAAGUCUAGAACCAGGGCUGCAAAGCCACCAGGGGUAGAAGACCCUCAGAAUAUCCUGAGAAAGUCGGGACACCGCCUGUCUGCCCUGGUCACAGCAGUAUUUGUGGCCAUCCACUGGGGAAACACAAAGAGACUCCCCUUCUCCCCACCUCCUUUUUUGCUAAUUCAGCUCUAACUUGGUUGCAUCUGCUUUGCUGGCAACUUCAUGGAAGCUAAAGGAAAGCAAGGAAAAGAGAAGAAAAAGCUGCCGGAGACUUUCCUGUGACUCGUUGCUAAUAAAGUUGAUUAGAAUGACA